rnacentral:rRNA from 1 species
UCGAACGCGAAAGUCCCGCAAGGGGAACAGUAGAGUGGCAAACGGGUGAGUAACACGUGGGUGACCUGCCUUGGAGUGGGGGAUAACGUCCCGAAAGGGACGCUAAUACCGCAUAACAUCCUGCCUUUGAAGAGGUGGAGAUCAAAGCUGGGGAUCGCAAGACCUAGCGCUCGAAGAGGGGCCCGCGCCUGAUUAGCUAGUUGGUGGGGUAAUGGCUCACCAAGGCUUCGAUCAGUAUCCGGCCUGAGAGGGCGGACGGACACACUGGGACUGAGACACGGCCCAGACUCCUACGGGAGGCAGCAGUGGGGAAUUGUUCGCAAUGGGCGCAAGCCUGACGACGCAACGCCGCGUGGAGGAUGAAGACCUUCGGGUCGUAAACUCCUUUCGAUCGAGACGAAUGGCCUCCGGGUGAACAAUCCGGAGGAGUGACGGUACCGAGAGAAGAAGCCCCGGCUAACUCCGUGCCAGCAGCCGCGGUAAUACGGGGGGGGCAAGCGUUGUUCGGAAUUACUGGGCGUAAAGGGCUCGUAGGCGGCCAACUAAGUCAGACGUGAAAUCCCUCGGCUUAACCGGGGAACUGCAUCUGAUACUGGAUGGCUUGAGAUUGGGAGAGGGAUGCGGAAUUCCAGGUGUAGCGGUGAAAUGCGUAGAUAUCUGGAGGAACACCGGUGGCGAAGGCGGCAUCCUGGACCAACACUGACGC